rnacentral:rRNA from 1 species
UACGGGGGGGGGCAAGCGUUGUUCGGAAUUACUGGGCGUAAAGGGCUCGUAGGCGGCCAACUAAGUCAGACGUGAAAUCCCCAGGCUUAACCUGGGAACUGCGUCUGAUACUGGAUGGCUUGAAUUCGGGAGAGGGAUGCAGAAUUCCAGGUGUAGCGGUGAAAAUGCGUAGAUAUCUGGAGGAAUACCGGUGGCGAAGGCGGCAUCCUGGACCGACAUUGACGCUGAGGAGCGAAAGCUAGGGGAGCAACGGG